rnacentral:rRNA from 1 species
GUGGGUUGCAAAAGAAGUAGGUAGCUUAACCUUCGGGAGGGCGCUUACCACUUUGUGAUUCAUGACUGGGGUGAAGUCGUAACAAGGUAACCGUAGGUGAACCUGCAGAAGGAUCA